rnacentral:rRNA from 1 species
GUUUCAGCCGCCGCGGUAAUACGUAGGGGGCAAGCGUUGUCCGGAAUCAUUGGGCGUAAAGCGCGUGUAGGCGGCUCGGCAAGUCCGAUGUGAAAGCCUGGGGCUCAACCCCGGGACUGCAUUGGAAACUGCCCUGCUAGAGUUCGGAAGAGGGGACUGGAAUUCCUGGUGUAGCGGUGAAAUGCGCAGAUAUCAGGAAGAACACCGGUGGCGAAGGCGGGUCCCUGGGACGAUACUGACGCUGAGACGCGAAAGCGUGGGGAGCAAACAGGAUUAGAAACCCCCGUAGUCC